AACGAACGCUGGCGGCAGGCCUAACACAUGCAAGUCGAGCGAGGACUUCGGUCCUAGCGGCGGACGGGGGAGUAACGCGUGGGAACGUGCCCUUUGCUUCGGAAUAGCCCUGGGAAACUGGGAGUAAUACCGGAUGGGCCCUUUGGGGGAAAGAUGUAUGGGCGAAGGGUCGGCGCGUGUUAGUUUCGGUGGUUGGUGGGGUAAUGGCCUACCAAGCCGAGGAUCCAGAGCUGGUUUGAGAGGAUGAUCAGCCACACUGGGACUGAGACACGGCCCAGACUCCUACGGGAGGCAGCAGUGGGGAAUAUUAGACAAGGGGGGAAACCCUGAUCAAGCCAUGCCGCGUGAGAGAUGAAGGCCUUAGGGUUGUAAAGCUCUUUCAGCUGGGAAGAUAAUGACGGUACCAGCAGAAGAAGCCCCGGCUAACUCCGUG
rnacentral:rRNA from 1 species